UACGAAGGGGGCUAGCGUUGUUCUGAUUUACCGGGCGUAAAGCGCACGUAGGCGGAUCGUUAAGUCGGGGGUGAAAUCCUGGAGCUCAACUCCAGAACUGCCUUCGAUACUGGCGAUCUUGAGUCCGGAAGAGGUGAGUGGAACUCCUAGUGUAGAGGUGGAAUUCGUAGAUAUUAGGAAGAACACCAGUGGCGAAGGCGGCACACUGGUCCGGUACUGACGCUGAGGUGCGAAAGCGUGGGGAGCAAACAGG
rnacentral:rRNA from 1 species